UAGCUAGUUGGUGAGGUAAAGGCUUACCAAGGCGACGAUCUGUAGCGGGUCUGAGAGGAUGAUCCGCCACACUGGAACUGAGACACGGUCCAGACUCCUACGGGAGGCAGCAGUGGGGAAUUUUGGACAAUGGGGGCAACCCUGAUCCAGCCAUGCCGCGUGAGUGAAGAAGGCCUUCGGGUUGUAAAGCUCUUUCGGCCGGGAAGAAAUCGCAUGGGCCAAUACCCUGUGUGGAUGACGGUACCGGAAUAAGAAGCACCGGCUAACUACGUGCCAGCAGCCGCGGUAAUACGUAGGGUGCGAGCGUUAAUCGGAAUUACUGGGCGUAAAGCGUGCGCAGGCGGUUUUGUAAGACAGGCGUGAAAUCCCCGGGCUUAACCUGGGAACUGCGUUUGUGACUGCAAGGCUAGAGUACGGCAGAGGGGGGUGGAAUUCCACGUGUAGCAGUGAAAUGCGUAGAGAUGUGGAGGAACACCAAUGGCGAAGGCAGCCCCCUGGGUCGAUACUGACGCUCAUGCACGAAAGCGUGGGUAGCAAACAGGAUUAGAUACCCUGGUAGUCCACGCCCUAAACUAUGUCAACUAGGUGUUGGGUGGGUAAAACCAUUUAGUACCGUAGCUAACGCGUGAAGUUGACCGCCUGGGGAGUACGGCCGCAAGGUUAAAACUCAAAGGAAUUGACGGGGACCCGCACAAGCGGUGGAUGAUGUGGAUUAAUUCGAUGCAACGCGAAAAACCUUACCUACCCUUGACACGCCAGGAACUUGCCAGAGAUGGCUUGGUGCCCGAAAGGGAGCCUGGGCACAGGUGCUGCAUGGCUGUCGUCAGCUCGUGUCGUGAGAUGUUGGGUUAAGUCCCGCAACGAGCGCAACCCUUGUCGUUAGUUGCCAUCAUUUAGUUGGGCACUUUAACGAGACUGCCGGUGACAAACCGGAGGAAGGUGGGGAUGACGUCAAGUCCUCAUGGCCCUUAUGGGUAGGGCUUCACACGUCAUACAAUGGUCGGUACAAAGGGUUGCCAAGCCGCGAGGCGGAGCCAAUCCCAGAAAGCCGAUCGUAGUCCGGAUUGCAGGCUGCAACUCGCCUGCAUGAAGUCGGAAUCGCUAGUAAUCGUGGAUCAGCAUGUCACGGUGAAUACGUUCCCGGGUCUUGUACACACCGCCCGUCACACCAUGGGAGCGGGUUCCGCCAGAAGUAGGUAGCCUAACCGCAAGGGGGGCGCUUACCACGGCGGGGUUCGUGACUGGGGUGAAGUCGUAACAAGGUAGCCGUAGGGCCUGCGGCUG
rnacentral:rRNA from 1 species